rfam:Glycine max cultivar Williams 82 chromosome 15, whole genome shotgun sequence.
GGGAGCCGUAUGAGGUGAAAAUCUCAUGUAUGGUUCUGUAAUAGAGAUGGUAACAGUAAUGUCAUCACCGACUAGGAU